rnacentral:rRNA from 1 species
UACGUAGGGUGCAAGCGUUGUCCGGAAUUAUUGGGCGUAAAGAGCUCGUAGGCGGUUUGUCGCGUCUGCUGUGAAAACCCGAGGCUCAACCUCGGGCCUGCAGUGGGUACGGGCAGACUAGAGUGCGGUAGGGAGAUUGGAAUUCCUGGUGUAGCGGUGGAAUGCGCAGAUAUCAGGAGGAACACCAAUGGCGAAGGCGGGUCUCUGGGCCGUAACUGACGCUGAGGAGCGAAAGCAUGGGGAGCGAACAGG